UGGGGUAUAGCUCAGUGGUAGAGCAUGUGCUUAACAAGCACAAGGCCCUGGGUUCUAUCCCUAGUAUCAAAA